UACGUAGGGGGCAAGCGUUGUCCGGAAUCAUUGGGCGUAAAGAGCGUGUAGGCGGCUCGAUAAGUCCGCUGUGAAAGUCCAGGGCUCAACCCUGGAAGGCCGGUGGAAACUGUCGGGCUAGAGUCCGGAAGAGGCGAGUGGAAUUCCCGGUGUAGCGGUGAAAUGCGCAGAUAUCGGGAGGAACACCAAUGGCGAAGGCAGCUCGCUGGGCAUUAACUGACGCUGAGGAGCGAAAGCAUGGGGAGCGAACAGG
rnacentral:rRNA from 1 species